CGGGUGGUAAUGCCGGAUGCUCCAUCACACCGCAUGGUGUGUUGGGAAAGCCUUUGCGGCAUGGGAUGGGGUCGCGUCCUAUCAGCUUGAUGGCGGGGUAACGGCCCACCAUGGCUUCGACGGGUAGCCGGCCUGAGAGGGCGACCGGCCACAUUGGGACUGAGAUACGGCCCAGACUCCUACGGGAGGCAGCAGUGGGGAAUAUUGCACAAUGGGCGCAAGCCUGAUGCAGCGACGCCGCGUGAGGGAUGGAGGCCUUCGGGUUGUAAACCUCUUUUGUUAGGGAGCAAGGCAUUUUGUGUUGAGUGUACCUUUCGAAUAAGCACCGGCUAACUACGUGCCAGCAGCCGCGGUAAUACGUAGGGUGCAAGCGUUAUCCGGAAUUAUUGGGCGUAAAGGGCUCGUAGGCGGUUCGUCGCGUCCGGUGUGAAAGUCCAUCGCUUAACGGUGGAUCCGCGCCGGGUACGGGCGGGCUUGAGUGCGGUAGGGGAGACUGGAAUUCCCGGUGUAACGGUGGAAUGUGUAGAUAUC
rnacentral:rRNA from 1 species